CUAGCGACUUCAGAGUUUGAUCCUGGCUCAGGACGAACGCUGGCGGCGUGCCUAACACAUGUAAGUCGAGCGGGGAUUGGGAAGCUUGCUUUCUGAUCCUAGCGGCGGACGGGUGAGUAACGCGUGAGCAACCUGCCUCUUACUGGGGGAUAACGCAUCGAAAGAUGUGCUAAUACCGCGUAAGACCACGGAGUCGCAUGGCUCAGGGGUCAAAGGAGCAAUCCGGUAAGAGAUGGGCUCGCGUCCGAUUAGCUAGUUGGUGAGAUAACGGCCCACCAAGGCGACGAUCGGUAGCCGACCUGAGAGGGUGAUCGGCCACAUUGGAACUGAGAUACGGUCCAG
rnacentral:rRNA from 1 species